GCCUGGGUGGCUCAGUUGGUUGAGCGUCCGACUUCGGCUCAGGUCAUGAUCUUGAGGUGUGUGAGUUCGAGCCCCGCAUCGGGCU
rnacentral:tRNA from 1 species